rnacentral:rRNA from 1 species
CACGUAGGCGGCUUUGUAAGUUAGAGGUGAAAGCCUGGAGCUCAACUCCAGAACUGCCUUUAAGACUGCAUCGCUUGAAUCCAGGAGAGGUGAGUGGAAUUCCGAGUGUAGAGGUGAAAUUCGUAGAUAUUCGGAAGAACACCAGUGGCGAAGGCGGCUCACUGGACUGGUAUUGACGCUGAGGCACGAAAGCGUGGGAGCAAACA